CCUUCAUCCUCAUAUUCUUCGUCAUCCUCAAAGUCUUCAUCCUCAAGAUCAUCAUCUGCAGCAGCUCCACUCUUAAACAACAUUACAGAUAAAAACACUGAAUGGUGUUGUUUAACAACCCAUGCAAUUCAACAUUGUCCCAGCUAAGUAAGUUUUGAGGAUAUCCCCGCACUCCACCAACCUCCUCGAGUGUCCCCGUGUGCUCGUCCUGCUCCUCCUCAAACGAGCUCCAGUUGCCGACCGGACCAUCCAGCGGGGGCAUGAUCGGGAUCGCGUCCGGGCUGAUGCCGUCGGCUGUGAUGUGAUGGCUGAGGAAAUGGUCUUCGCAUAUCCGAUGAAGAUCUGUGAUUUCGCGCUCAGUGUCCCG
rnacentral:lncRNA from 1 species